GAUGAACGCUGGCGGCGUGCCUAAUACAUGCAAGUAGAACGCUGAAGGAGGAGCUUGCUCUUCUGGAUGAGUUGCGAACGGGUGAGUAACGCGUAGGUAACCUGCCUUGUAGCGGGGGAUAACUAUUGGAAACGAUAGCUAAUACCGCAUGACAACAGUUAUUGCAUGAUAACUGUUUAAAAGGGGCAACUGCUCCACUACCAGAUGGACCUGCGUUGUAUUAGCUAGUUGGUGAGGUAACGGCUCACCAAGGCGACGAUACAUAGCCGACCUGAGAGGGGGAUCGGCCACACUGGGACUGAGACACGGCCCAGACGCCUACGGGAGGCAGCAGUAGGGAAUCGUCGGCAAGGGGCGGAAGUCUGACCGAGCAACGCCGCGUGAGGGAAGAAGGUUUUCGGAUCGUAAAGCUCUGUUGUAAGAGAAGAACGAGUGUGAGAGUGGAAAGUUCACACUGUGACGGUAUCUGACCAGAAAGGGACGGCUAACUACGUG
rnacentral:rRNA from 1 species